CCUACGGGACGCAGCAGUGAGGAAUAUUGGUCAAUGGCCGCAGGGCUGAACCAGCCAAGUCGCGUGAGGGAUGACGGUCCUAUGGAUUGUAAACCUCUUUUGUCAGGGAGCAAAGGGCGCCACGUGUGGCGUUUUGCGAGUACCUGAAGAAAAAGCAUCGGCUAACUCCGUGCCAGCAGCCGCGGUAAUACGGAGGAUGCGAGCGUUAUCCGGAUUUAUUGGGUUUAAAGGGUGCGCAGGCGGGAUGCCAAGUCAGCGGUCAAAUACGGGGGCUCAACCUGCGUCCGCCGUUGAAACUGGCGUUU
rnacentral:rRNA from 1 species